rnacentral:rRNA from 1 species
UACGGGGGGAGCAAGCGUUGUUCGGAUUUACUGGGCGUAAAGGGCGCGUAGGUGGCGCGGGCAGUCAACGGUGAAAGUUCGGGGCUCAACCCUGAAUCGGCCGUCGAUACUCCCGUGCUCGAGCACUGUAGAGGCUCAUGGAAUUCCGGGUGUAGCGGUGGAAUGCGUAGAGAUCCGGAAGAACACCGGUGGCGAAGGCGGUGAGCUGGGCAGUAGCUGACACUGAGGCGCGACAGCGUGGGGAGCAAACAGG